rnacentral:ncRNA from 1 species
CGUAACAAGGUCUCCGUUGGUGAACCAGCGGAGGGAUCAUUACCGAGUUUACAACUCCCAAACCCCUGUGAACAUACCUAUACGUUGCCUCGGCGGAUCAGCCCGCGCCCCGUAAAAAGGGACGGCCCGCCCGAGGACCCCUAAACUCUGUUUUUAGUGGAACUUCUGAGUAAAACAAACAAAUAAAUCAAAACUUUCAACAACGGAUCUCUUGGUUCUGGCAUCGAUGAAGAACGCAGCAAAAUGCGAUAAGUAAUGUGAAUUGCAGAAUUCAGUGAAUCAUCGAAUCUUUGAACGCACAUUGCGCCCGCCAGUAUUCUGGCGGGCAUGCCUGUUCGAGCGUCAUUUCAACCCUCAAGCUCAGCUUGGUGUUGGGACUCGCGGUAACCCGCGUUCCCCAAAUCGAUUGGCGGUCACGUCGAGCUUCCAUAGCGUAGUAAUCAUACACCUCGUUACUGGUAAUCGUCGCGGCCACGCCGUAAAACCCCAACUUCUGAAUGUUGACCUCGGAUCAGGUAGGAAUACCCGCUGAACUUAAGCAUAUCAAUAAGCGGAGGAAAAGAAACCAACAGGGAUUGCCCUAGUAACGGCGAGUGAAGCGGCAACAGCUCAAAUUUGAAAUCUGGCUCUCGGGCCCGAGUUGUAAUUUGUAGAGGAUGCUUUUGAUGCGGUGCCUUCCGAGUUCCCUGGAACGGGACGCCAUAGAGGGUGAGAGCCCCGUCUGGUUGGAUGCC